UACAGAGGGGGCAAGCGUUGUUCGGAAUUACUGGGCGUAAAGGGCGCGUAGGCGGCCUUCUAAGUCGAACGUGAAAUCCCCGGGCUCAACCCGGGAACUGCGUCCGAUACUGGAAGGCUUGAAUCCGGGAGAGGGAUGCGGAAUUCCAGGUGUAGCGGUGAAAUGCGCAGAUAUCGGGAGGAACACCGGUGGCGAAGGCGGUUCUCUGGGCCUGUUCUGACGCUGAGGAGCGAAAGCGUGGGGAGCGAACAGG
rnacentral:rRNA from 1 species